UUCCAGACUCCUACGGGAGGCAGCAGUGGGGAAUAUUGCACAAUGGGGGGAACCCUGAUGCAGCGACGCCGCGUGGGUGAAGGAGCACCUCGGUGCGUAAAGCCCUAUCGGCAGGGAAGAAACAGACGGUACCUGACUAAGAAGCCCCGGCUAACUACGUGCCAGCAGCCGCGGCAAUACGUAGGGGGCAAGCGUUAUCCGGAUUCACUGGGUGUAAAGGGAGCGUAGACGGCGACGCAAGUCUGGAGGGAAAGCCCGGGGGCCACACCCGGGACUGCUCUGGGAACUGCGUCGCUGGAGUACGGGAGGGGGAGGGGGAAUUCCUGGUGUAGCGGUGAAAUGCGUAGAUAUC
rnacentral:rRNA from 1 species